UCCAUUACACUACCCUGCCUCU
rnacentral:miRNA from 11 species